AGCUCUGGAUGCCAGAUGGAUGCUUUGCCAGGGGAAUGGCAGAGUUUGAAGACCCUUGUAAGCUACACGUUUAAGGACCUACAGCAGCUUAUGGCAAACAGCUUCAACCAAAGAGCCAUACAGAACUGACUACAAGAACAUCCUACACCUUGUGGACAUUCUGUUGGUCCUCCCAAUUUCAUCUGCACAGUGUGAGCGAGGCUUCUCUGCGCAGAAACGCCUCAAAAGCUCUUUGAGGAGCUGCUUGCAUGUCUCCACCACAGAGGAUCUUAUCAGGAUCACAACAGAGGGCCCCUCACUUGAAUUAUUUGAUCCCACUAAAUGUGCCGAAAACUGUCUGUCAGCUGGAAAAAGGUCACGUCGACCCAACUACAAGUCAUGGCCAAGUGAUUCCGAGUCCGACAUGAUUUUUGUGUAGCCUAAAUGUGAUAUUUUUUUAUUUAUCUUUUUAGUAAAUUGGUGCUGUUUUGUGUAGCCUAAAUGUAAUCUUGUCUAUUUGUAUUAAUUUAGUUUUAGUAAGUUGGUGCGGUUGGUGUGUGCAAUUUCUGCACCCUAAUAAAUGUUCUGAACAAAAA